rnacentral:rRNA from 1 species
GACGAACGCUGGCGGCGUGCCUAAUACAUGCAAGUAGAACGCUGAAGGAGGAGCUUGCUCUUCUGGAUGAGUUGCGAACGGGUGAGUAACGCGUAGGUAACCUGCCUGGUAGUGGGGGAUAACUAUUGGAAACGAUAGCUAAUACCGCAUAAUAACAGUUGUUGCAUGACAACUGUUUGAAAGGUGCAAUUGCAUCACUACCAGAUGGACCUGCGUUGUAUUAGCUAGUUGGUGGGGUAACGGCUCACCAAGGCGACGAUACAUAGCCGACCUGAGAGGGUGAUCGGCCACACUGGGACUGAGACACGGCCCAGACUCCUACGGGAGGCAGCAGUAGGGAAUCUUCGGCAAUGGACGAAAGUCUGACCGAGCAACGCCGCGUGAGUGAAGAAGGUUUUCGGAUCGUAAAGCUCUGUUGUAAGAGAAGAACGAGUGUGAGAGUGGAAAGUUCACACUGUGACGGUAUCUUACCAGAA